UUCUAUUAAAUUCUCUUUUUAACUCUUUUGACCUGGUAAGAUGUUUACGUUCCGUCCCCCUAUGUUUUCUCCUUAUAUAAAUCUCUUUUCUGUAUCAUCGCUUCACGUACAUUCUACAGAGUACAGACGUCCAUACAACCACAUCAGGCGAUGGCGAUGAAAUCGAAAAAAUCCACCACAACAAUGGACUCGGUCUCAAGAGCGCAUCAGCUUCUGAAGAAAGGUUUUAAUUGGUGGCAGUAAUGAAACUGAAAUGUGAAACGUUGCCGCCUAGAAGAUACAAGAUCUGACGUAGGAGCUUAACCAGCAAGAUAUUAGCGAACUAGACGCCCUUGGGCUUGAACAAAACAAAACAAAUAAAUCUUUUCUCUUUCAGGGCGUCUAACCCAUCUCCUGCAGCUGCAUAGGUAGUCUCGCAUGUGCACCUUCCUAUGUCUACGAAGACGACGCUGGGAGGAAGGAAUCUAAGACAGACGCUUUGAUGCAGAUCCAUACUAUGUAUGUUCCCAAAGCUGCACUUUGUCCUAUUACGGCCAACAUCAUACCACAGAGGAGAAACUGGUGUUGCUUUACAUUCUCUCUGCUUAUAUUCUUGAAUAAUUAAUAAGAGAAACUGGAUAUUUUAUGUGUUAUUGUUCUAUGUUAUCAGAAAAUAUAGAAGUGUAGUGGUAAGAAGAACAUGCUAUGCUUAUGUGUUAUUCUUCUUAUUCAAUGUAGUUUAACGAAUUUUGGAAUGUUUGAUCUUGUCAGCCAGUUUCUUAUAUGCAACUUGAAAGGAGCAUUCACGAAAUAGCUGCCACCUCGGAUCAGGUUAAGUUUUUUUCUUUUAAUCUGUCUUUUAACCACUCUUCUCCUGGUGAAAAUUGUAUAUGAAUGUAGUUUUACAACAGCACUCAAUACCCUUGUCAAUUUGUUGUCCUUAAAGCUUGAUCAACUAUCUCAAAUGAUUUAAGAAAACUUCGUCAAACUCUAAUGCGGAACUGCAUCAGUGCUGAUCAAAAGUUUGCUGAAGAGGCAAUGAAGCAGAAUAAUUGUUUCCUAUUUCUGAGAUUUAUUGCCUUGAAUCUCUACCUUAAUAGCUCUUCGUGAGGUGAUCUAUGGAGAAGUGAUAAAUCCAAUGGAAGCUCAUAGUUCUUGGAACUUUGGAAGAACAAAAAGGAAUCUCAUUCCUUGGAGAUUCCUUGGAAACGUAGUGGUUUGAUGAAAAACAGCUGGUGUUUAAUCAAGUGAGUUCUGUUGUGGUGAAGGCAAUCAAAUCAUUGACACUGGUUUUGGUCAUCUCUGCAGUGAUAUAAUCUCAAUCGAUACUAUCAACCACCAUUUCAAAUGUUCAGACGCGACCAUUGCCACUGCUUCAGAGACCAUGUGAAGUUAGUUCAAAUAACAGCCACCAUUAACCCAAUACUUACGGAGUUGUUCAUGUUUGGCAGCUACCAACAGCUUAUUAGUAUAGAUUUACUUGCACUAUGACUUUUUCUAAAAAACAAUUGAUAUGGUUGUUGUCGUUAUUUUCGUUAUCGUCAUUAUAUGAAGAUAUGGGUUUUACCUUUUACUUAAUCACGCUAGCUAUUUGAGAAUUUCUUCUCUACUUGAACCAUAUGAAAUAUUAAACCAGGAAAAUCACAAUGUCAGAUUAUAAGCCUCCCCUAUAUUAAAGGUCACCGUGACAAUGUUAAUUGCUGUAAUUUCUUCAACCUCUGUACCGUAGGUUCUUCAACAAUGUUAGUAUGGUGUCUUCUUUGGUAUUUUCGCUUCAUUUCGAAUUUUCUGAUACUUCUUAGUCUACAAGAUAUUUGCUUAUCACCAAUAUUAAUUGUUUUCUUGGGUGUUCACUUGGUUGUAAGCAAAUGUAGAACAAUUCUUGACUUGAUAAAGAAGUGAAGAAUGAGCCUUCUGAUCUCAUCACCUUAACUUUUCGUAAAUUAGUCAAACCUUAACCCGCUAGAAUGCUACUUACAUUUAGAGAUUCUAAUCAAAGUUUUGAUGAAUGAUUUAGCGAGAACAUAAAUUACGACUUAUGUUUGCUAUAUCCACAAGUUGUGGAAGAAAUGCAUGAUUCAUUUUAAAGGGCAACAGACAUGAUUUUCAAAAAUAAUUAAACAAUUCCUCAACCCAUUACCAGCCAAAGCAAAGGAAAAUAUGGCUUUUAGGAUGCAACUAAGGAAAUGUAAGCGCAGAGGCACAAAAAAGUAAUAUAUUAUUAUCAACAACACACAUAUGAUAUAACAUUAUACAACUGUUACAUAUACGAAUUAUCAUAGUCUAUAUCGACAGAAAUGUUGAUGGCUUUAACUUUUAAGAAAAAAAAAUUCAUAACUAAAACUAAAACACGAAUAUAAACAUAUGGUGCAAACAUGCCAACCUUGGUUUCUGGCUUAACUAGAGAUGAGACUCUGCAACCAGACCAGACCACCGAAAGAGAUGUAGGAGUAAGUGUGGUUUUACGAUUAAUUUUUUUUAUAUUUGUUAUUUUAAUUUAAAGUAAAAUUUCAAAACAAUUUAUAAAAUUAAAAUAUAAAAAUAGUUUUAGUAUAAACUCACCCAGCCCGUAGGGCGGGCUAACCACUAGUUAAUUAAUAUUUUUAAGAUCAGAUAUAAGAUUUGAUUGAAUAACAGAUUUUUUUUUUUGUACAAGAAAAUGUACACAUAACAGAAACGAGCACGCGUAAACGAUCAUUUUGAAAAGAAAAAAACUUUUACCGUUUCUUCUUAUUGACAUAAUAUUUUAACAUUUUGAGUUGGAGGCUUAUAUAGGCUUUUAACGAGGAAAUAAAGUAAAUCACUACAAAUGCUAGGUUUAUCUAAUCUAUUAAAAGGGGAGUAUAUUUUGUACUUAACCCUAACUUUUUCACAAAAAUUACCUUCUCAUGCCACUGAUAUUAAACACAAAGUUUUGCAUUUAAAUUAAACCGGACACACACGAUUGGUCCAAUAAAUUAGAUCUACAACACCAUCACAAACCACUUAAUCUUCGGUAGCUACAUUAACUUCUGUAUAAUGAAUAAAACAGAACAUUUAGCAUUAUUAAUAAAACACAACGUGUAAACUUAUUAUAUGCUGCUUGUGAAACUUCUUUCGUUCCUCUUCCUGUACAUCACAUUCCAUUGUUAUAACAUCUCCGGUUUCCUCAGGAGAACCAAAACGAGCAUAUUAGAUAGAUUCAAUUCGAUGUACUUGAUUAAGAAAUUUUGAAAUUUUUUUCUUUUGAUUAUAAUUUAUUUCAUGAUUUAUAUAUAUUAAAAACUUAUACAUCAAAACAAUUCACUCCCCUUAACACCCAAGUAAGGUUGGUUUAGUUUAGUUUUGUGGUAUGAUUUUGGCGGGUGAAGAAGGUUUUGCUCAUAUAUGAACAUAGGAAUUGUUCAAAAUUCAAACUAAUCAUUUAUUAAUUUCCUAGAAUACAUGACCUUCCAAAAUCUAUUCCUACAUUUAAGCAAAUCUUCUUAACAAUCUCAAUAUCAAAUCAAAACAAAUCGUAUAAAUGGUUUUGUUCAAAAUUCAAUGUAAUCAUUUAUUUUUUUCCUAAAAUAUAUUCCUAUAUUUAAGCAAAUCUUCUUAACAAUCACAAUAUUAGAUCAUUAACAUAGAUAGCUAAAUAUUUUUUUUUUGGUUUAUAUUCUUGCAAAUCUAGUUAAAAUCGAAUCAUUUAAAGCGUAUAUUCCUUUCAAUAAAUUAACUUUCUAACAACCUAAUCAAAUUGGGAAAAAAUCGACUUGAAUAUUCCACAUAUAUAAUCCUAAAUAAUCACAACUAACAAAAUCUUUAAUAAUUAUAUGGCGUGUAUACCUAAUUGUUACCCUUUCUUAAAUACCUAUAUAUAACUUUCCCCCAAUAACGUUAAAACCAUAGCACUCAAAGCAUCUCUUCUUAAAAUGUCUACAAUGGGGUGAUUGGUUGAGCCUGUAGGAGCUGUGCACAGUUUUUUUAAUUUCUACAUCCAUUUUUUAAAGCAAUCAUGUUUUUAUUUUAAAAAAUGAAUCUAAAGCCAAAACAUUAUAAAAAGAAAUAUGUUAGCUUUAAAAAACACUUUUUCUAGAGAUUUUAUACAGUGCUCUGAAAAGUUUCUACAACAAAAUAAAUUAAAACUAGAGCUAAAAAUCUAGAGCUUAAAUCUUAGAGCAAAAAACAGAAAGCCACAGCCUCUACCAAUCACCCCCAAUAACUACUUUUCAUCCUCUCACAAAACUGCGGCCUUUUAAGAAUCAUUGGCGAGUGCAAGUCAAGUGUUUGCAUUCUUGGAGGUGGACAACAUCUUUUGGAGAUACGUUUGAAAUGGUUUUAGCAGACCAGUGGGUAAUUAAAUUCUUCUGUUUGUUUGAAAGUUAUAACAUGUUCAUGUUUUAAUAUUCUGAACGAAUAUUACAACUGUUUUAUUGUUAGGGAAACAAAAUCCAGGACUCUUGCAAAAGAACACACAUGUAUCGUUUUCAAGGUUUCUACUUCAGGAUUAAACGGGGCACAGCCUCUGUCUAUCCGAUCGAAUUUUCUUCGUAUUCCAUACCUUAGAUGAUGUUUAAGAAAAUCACAACACAGAAUCCAGAUUUGAUAAAACCAAAUCUAAAAUAAACAAACUGAACCUAAAUCGAGAAUCCCAAACCUUGAUGCCAACAUCUGCAGUAGUAAUCAAUGGAUCUGUCCUCACUCAUCCUUCCAGUGGAAACUUCCUAAUCUAUCUUCACCCGUUUAAAAGAUCGCGACAGAAACAAGAACGGACGGACGGCACCGACAAAAAGAGAUGAAAGAGAAACAUUUUUUUCUGUUGGAAUGAAAAAAGUCGUCAAAGGCAAAAUUAUUUCUGUUUGUUUCGCGAAAAAAAACAAUAUCGGCUUCGAGAUUGGGCCAAGGUCAAGAUAUUUUUGUUCAAUAUGAUGUAGCAUUUUUAAAAUGAUUACAAACUGGCCAAUUAAAUAUAUCAUAUUGGGCUUGCAAAAUUUAAUUACCAGAAUCAUGUAGUUUUUGGUUUUUUUGGUAUCUUUUCAUUGGUUUAGAUUAUUACUGUUUAAAAACUCUAUAAUUAUUACUUUAAUAUAUACUUUAAAUCACAAAGGUUAUAGUAUAAUUUUAUAAAACAUACACAAUUGGCAAACUUAAUACUCAAAUAUUUUGACUAAAUAAUGUUCAUGUUACUAAUAAAAAAGAAAAGUUGUUCCAAAAAAUCUAUACAUCAUCGUAAUUUCUAUGUGGACACUAAACAUGGUGAACAAAAUACAUCACUCUCAAAACCUAUAACUAUGAAACUGUAACAUUAAUUUUUAACAUAUAAUCAUUUAGAACAUACACCUGCGCGGGCGCGCGGGUCCAAAAUCUAGUUGAGGGUUAAGAAUUAAGACUUACAAG